UACGUAGGGUCCGAGCGUUGUCCGGAAUUAUUGGGCGUAAAGGGCUCGUAGGCGGCUUGUCGCGUCGGGAGUGAAAACACCGGGCUUAACUCGGUGCUUGCUUUCGAUACGGGCAGACUGGAGGUAUGCAGGGGAGAACGGAAUUCCUGGUGUAGCGGUGAAAUGCGCAGAUAUCAGGAGGAACACCGGGGGCGAAGGCGGCAUCCUGGGCCAACACUGGCGCUGAGUGAGCGAAAGCCAGGGGAGCGAACGGG
rnacentral:rRNA from 1 species